rnacentral:rRNA from 1 species
AGCGAACGCUGGCGGCAGGCCUAACACAUGCAAGUCGAACGAACCUUUCGGGGUUAGUGGCGGACGGGUGAGUAACACGUGGGAACGUGCCUUUAGGUUCGGAAUAACUCAGGGAAACUUGUGCUAAUACCGAAUGUGCCCUUCGGGGGAAAGAUUAAUCGCCUUUAGAGCGGCCCGCGUCUGAUUAGCUAGUUGGUUGAGGUAAUGGCUCACCAAGGCGACGAUCAGUAGCUGGUCUGAGAGGAUGAUCAGCGACAUUGGGACUGAGACACGGCCCAAACUCCUACGGGAGGCAGCAGUGGGGAAUCUUGCGAAAUGGGCGAAAGCCUGACGCAGCCAUGCCGCGUGAAUGAUGAAGGUCUUAGGAUUGUAAAAUUCUUUAACCGGGGACGAUAAUGACGGUACCCGGAGAAGAAGCCCCGGCUAACUUCGUG